UACGUAGGGGGCUAGCGUUGUCCGGAAUCAUUGGGCGUAAAGCGCGCGUAGGCGGCCAGAUAAGUCCGGUGUGAAAGUCACAGGCUCAACCUGUGAAUGCCGCUGGAAACUGUCUGGCUCGAGUCCGGGAGGGGCGAGUGGAAUUCCUGGUGUAGCGGUGAAAUGCGCAGAUAUCAGGAGGAACACCAAUGGCGAAGGCAGCUCGCUGGGACGUGACUGACGCUGAGACGCGAAAGCGUGGGGAGCAAACAGG
rnacentral:rRNA from 1 species